GACGGGGGAUGCAAGUGUUAUCCGGAAUAAUUGGGCGUAAAGCGUCUGUAGGUGGUUUACCAAGUCUGUUGUUAAAAAUCAGGGCUUAACCCUGAUCCGGCAACAGAAACUAGUAGGCUGGAGUACGGUAGGGGCAGAGGGAAUUCUCGGUGUAGUGGUGAAGUACGUAGAUAUCGAGAAGAACACCAAUAGCGAAAAGCACUCUGCUGGGCCGAAACUGACAUUGAGAGACGAAAGCUAGGGGAGCGAAAGGG
rnacentral:rRNA from 1 species